UACGUAGGGUGCAAGCGUUGUCCGGAAUUAUUGGGCGUAAAGGGUGCGUAGGCGGUUUGGCAAGUCUUGUGUGAAAUCUUUGGGCUCAACCCAAAGUCUGCAUAAGAAACUGCCGGGCUUGAGUAUGGGAGAGGUGAGUGGAAUUUCCGGUGUAGCGGUGAAAUGCGUAGAUAUCGGAAGGAACACCUGUGGCGAAAGCGGCUCACUGGACCAUUACUGACGCUGAGGCACGAAAGCUAGGGGAGCAAACAGG
rnacentral:rRNA from 1 species